rnacentral:rRNA from 1 species
UAUGCACUGGCUUUCGCUGAUUCCUCCUUUCUGAAGAACUGUAAUGCCAUUAAUUUGGUGUUGCAGGGAAACAGGACUGUUACUUUGAAAAAAUUAGAGUGUUUAAAGCAGGCUAACGCUUGAAUACAUUAGCAUGGAAUAAUGAAAUAGGACGUUUGAUCCUAUUUUGUUGGUUUCUAGGAUUGACGUAAUGAUUAAUAGGGAUAGUUGGGGGCAUUAGUAUUCAAUUGUCAGAGGUGAAAUUCUUGGAUUUAUUGAAGACUAACUACUGCGAAAGCAUUUGCCAAGGAUGUUUUCAUUAAUCAAGAACGAAAGUUAGGGGAUCGGAGACGAUCAGAUACCGUCGUAGUCUUAACCAUAAACUAUGCCGACUAGGGAUCGGAUGAUGUUAAUUUUUUAAUGACUCAUUCGGCGCCUUACG